ACUGAUCUGCAUUUUGAUUAUAUCGUCGACGUAAUCAACAUUAACUCAGCAUCAAAAACAAAUAGGAUUUUCCUUUUUCAAUUUUCACAUUUUGCAAGUCUCUUGGGUUUGUUGGGGGGUUUUGUGCAGUUUUUCGGAUUUUAACGAAUUUUACACAUGUACGAGUAUUUCUUCCAUUAUAUUGGGCAACUCAAUUCGUUAUUUUCUUUUAUCACCAGCAGUCUAGUAAACGUGUACAAAUGAAUAUAAAAAUCUACCGAAAAUAGGGCAUCAAAGUCAUACUCUUUAUUGUUAAAAGAAAACAAAUCCCAGAAGUAAAUGAAAAUGUAACAACUUUUAUUAUUGAACAUGAACAUAUAUAUAUCAACAUCAAAAUUAUAGACCAAAUGGAAUUCUUACAAAAUUGUAUGAAGAUAUGUGAUUAUAUACAUUAGAUUCACUUUACAAAAUGCAUGGUAUCUCAAACAUUUAUAUCUUUUUUGUACAAGAGAACACUCGAAAUUCCAAAAUACCACAAUUAGAACUGUCACAUGUAGAAAAAUACAAAAGCAUUUAGUAUUCAGUGCAAAACAUUUAAUCUUCGA
rnacentral:lncRNA from 1 species